rnacentral:rRNA from 1 species
CAGUCGCCGCGGUAAUACGAAGGGGGCUAGCGUUGCUCGGAAUGACUGGGCGUAAAGGGCGCGUAGGCGGCGGCCAAAGUCAGGCGUGAAAUUCCCGGGCUCAACCUGGGGGCUGCGUUUGAUACUUGGUUGCUUGAGUGGGGAAGAGGGUCGUGGAAUUCCCAGUGUAGAGGUGAAAUUCGUAGAUAUUGGGAAGAACACCGGUGGCGAAGGCGGCGACCUGGUCCUUUACUGACGCUGAGGCGCGAAAGCGUGGGGAGCAAACAGGAUUAGAGACCCCGGUAGUCCCUGUCUCUUAUAA